UGAGGAAUAUUGGUCAAUGGACGAGAGUCUGAACCAGCCAAGUAGCGUGCAGGAUGACGGCCCUAUGGGUUGUAAACUGCUUUUGUUUGGGAAUAAUCGACAUUACGUGUAAUGUUUUGCAUGUACCAUUCGAAUAAGGACCGGCUAAUUCCGUGCCAGCAGCCGCGGUAAUACGGAAGGUCCAGGCGUUAUCCGGAUUUAUUGGGUUUUAAGGGAGUGUAGGCCGUUUGGUAAGCGUGUUGUGAAAUGUAGGAGCUCAACUUCUAGAUUGCAGCGCGAACUGUCAGACUUGAGUGCGCACAACGUAGGCGGAAUUCAUGGUGUAGCGGUGAAAUGCUUAGAUAUCAUGAAGAACUCCGAUUGCGAAGGCAGCUUACGGGAGCGCAACUGACGCUGAAGCUCGAAGGUGCGGGUAUCGAACAGG
rnacentral:rRNA from 1 species